rnacentral:rRNA from 1 species
UACGUAGGGGGCAAGCGUUGUCCGGAAUCAUUGGGCGUAAAGCGCGUGUAGGCGGCCCACUAAGUCCGCUCUGAAAGCCCGGGGCUCAACCCCGGGAGGCGGGUGGAUACUGGUGGGCUCGAGUCCGGAAGAGGUCAGUGGAAUUCCCGGUGUAGCGGUGAAAUGCGCAGAUAUCGGGAGGAACACCAAUGGCGAAGGCAGCUGACUGGGACGUGACUGACGCUGAGACGCGAAAGCGUGGGGAGCAAACAGG